rnacentral:rRNA from 1 species
GAUUAACGCUAGCGGCAGGCCUAAUACAUGCAAGUCGAACGGCAGCGGGUGUAGCAAUACAUGCCGGCGAGUGGCGCACGGGUGAGUAACGCGUGGGAACGUGCCCUUCAGUACGGGACAACGUCGGGAAACUGACGCUAAUACCGUAUAAUAUCUCCGGAUCAAAGAUUUAUCGCUGAAGGAUCGGCCCGCGUCUGAUUAGUUUGUUGGUGAGGUAACGGCUCACCAAGACUACGAUCAGUAGCUGGUCUGAGAGGAUGAUCAGCCACACUGGGACUGAGACACGGCCCAGACUCCUACGGGAGGCAGCAGUUAGGAAUAUUGGACAAUGGGGGAAACCCUGAUCCAGCCAUGCCGCGUGUGUGAUGAAGGCCUUAGGGUUGUAAAGCACUUUCGUUGGGGAGUGAUAAUGACCGUACCCAAACGAAGAAGACCACGGCUAAAUUACGUG